GCGUAACAUUCGCCCGAUUUUUUAACGAGAAGGACACACACUUUGGACAGUCAUAGUCGAUACCGAAUAUCGCUUUAGUCUCCCGCCUUAUGCCAAUGGCUAUCGGCGAGAGUUCGU
rnacentral:ncRNA from 1 species